rnacentral:rRNA from 1 species
GACGAACGCUGGCGGCGUGCCUAACACAUGCAAGUUGAGCGACGAACCAGGGCUUGCCCUGGGGCAAAGCAGCGAAAGGGUGAGUAACACGUGGGUAACCUACCCCGAUAACCGGGACAACCCGAGGAAACUCGGGCUAAUACCGGAUGUGCUCACUGGACUUCGGUUCAGUGCGUAAAGGAAGCUUCGGCCUCCGUAUCGGGAGGGGCCCGCGGCCCAUUAGUUUGUUGGUGAGGUAACGGCUCACCAAGACCGCGAUGGGUAGCUGGUCUGAGAGGACGAUCAGCCACACUGGGACUGAGACACGGCCCAGACUCCUACGGUAGGCAGCAGUGGGGAAUCUUGCGCAAUGCGCGAAAGCGUGACGCAGCAACGCCGCGUGGGGGAAGAAGGCCUUCGGGUUGUAAACCCCUUUCAGGAGGGACGAAGGUUCGGCGGUGAAUAGCCGUCCGGACUGACGGUACCUCCACAAGAAGCCCCGGCUAACUACGUG